rnacentral:lncRNA from 1 species
ACCAAUUGGGACUGAUUGUUGGCAUACGGUGAUGCAUCACGUAUUUAUUGUUUAGGGGCUAGUUUCUCUUGGGCCUUGUCAUAGGACUGAACGUGGCCGUAGUCACCAAAAAUUGAGAAAAGAUUUUUGGAUAUUUAUUAAUAUGCAUGGCAUAUUUUAGAAGAAAAUUAUCUUAUUACAUAUUACUGUUAUAUUGUUAUAUUUUUGAAAACUAGUUAUGC